GCUGCAUCUUCUUGUGCAGUGCCAGCCUCGUCCCGUAGACAAAAUGGUGAAGGUCGGUGUGAACGGAUUUGGCCGUAUUGGGCGCCUGGUCACCAGGGCUGCCGUCUGCUCUGGCAAAGUAGAGAUUGUUGCCAUCAAUGAUCCCUUCAUUGACCUCAACUACAUGGUCUACAUGUUCCAGUAUGACUCCACCCAUGGCAAAUUCAAUGGCACAGUCAAGGCCGAGAAUGGGAAACUUGUCAUCCACGGGAAACCCAUCACCAUCUUCCAGGAGCGAGACCCUGCUAACAUCAAAUGGGGUGAUGCCGGUGCUGAGUAUGUUGUGGAGUCCACUGGUGUCUUCACCACCAUGGAGAAGGCCGGGGCCCACUUGAAGGGUGGAGCCAAAAGAGUCAUCAUCUCUGCCCCUUCUGCCGAUGCCCCCAUGUUUGUGAUGGGUGUGAACCACGAGAAAUAUGACAACUCACUCAAGAUUGUCAGCAAUGCAUCCUGCACCACCAACUGCUUAGCCCCCUUGACCCUGGGAAUCCAGCUUCACAAAACAAACACCAGAGCGCCCGCUAAUCGCCAGCUCAGAAACAAAACAGCACUGCGCUGGGGGAUCCGGGCGCAAAUCAGCCCUCCCUCUUCGCGCUCCUUCGCCACCGCCCGCCCCUCAGCUCCGCUGCUCGGCUCCGCUCAGAGCAGCGCAGCUCCGCAGCCGCCAAAGCGAGGCGGGCUCGGUCUCCCCACCGCCAGCGCCACCCGGGCUCCUCCAGGUUUCGCCUCUGCAGCUCCCGUCACUUAG